UAUAAAACCAAGCCAGCUGAAAGAAAAAUUAUACAUUAUACAUGAAGACAGUGGUGGACUUAGCGAUGAACAGAUUACAGCACUAAGAAGAUAUCAACCGACUGCAAAGGACAUAAAAAUGUAUAUGUCAUUCAAAGGAACCCCUUCAGAACUCCAUCUGGUGGAUCAAUUUAUGCUAGAAAUGUGCAAAAUACCUAAUUUAUGUCAAACACUUGACCUUCUUCAUUCUGUUCGUGA
rnacentral:lncRNA from 1 species